AGCGAACGCUGGCGGCAUGCCUAACACAUGCAAGUCGAACGAGACCUUCGGGUCUAGUGGCGCACGGGUGCGUAACGCGUGGGAACCUGCCCUUAGGUUCGGAAUAACUCCCCGAAAGGGGUGCUAAUACCGGAUAAUGUCUUCGGACCAAAGAUUUAUCGCCUUUGGAUGGGCCCGCGUUGGAUUAGCUAGUUGGUAGGGUAAAAGCCUACCAAGGCGACGAUCCAUAGCUGGUCUGAGAGGAUGAUCAGCCACACUGGGACUGAGACACGGCCCAGACUCCUACGGGAGGCAGCAGUGGGGAAUAUUGGACAAUGGGCGAAAGCCUGAUCCAGCAAUGCCGCGUGAGUGAUGAAGGCCUUAGGGUUGUAAAGCUCUUUUACCCGGGAUGAUAAUGACAGUACAGGGAGAAUAAGCUCCGGCUAACUCCGUG
rnacentral:rRNA from 1 species